CUCACCUUUAUGAAUCUAAUAAGUUCCAUCUCUUUGAAAUCUCAUGCGAAGAAGUGAAUGCUCGUUGUAAGUAUUUAUAUGCAAGAGGGCUCGAGUGGUCUCUCCCUCAAGGUCUACCCCAUGCUCCUAAAAUACUAGUGUCAGUGCCAUCCCAUAGGAUAGAGAUGCCUUUGACCUGCCUGCUAUGUCUUCCAUCAAUCUGAUCAUCA
rnacentral:lncRNA from 1 species